rnacentral:rRNA from 1 species
CCCGCUGAACUUAAGCAUAUCAAUAAGCGGAGGAAAAGAAACUAACAAGGAUUCCCCUAGUAACUGCGAGUGAAGCGGGAAAAGCUCAAAUUUAAAAUCUGGUGGUCAAUUGAUCACUCGAGUUGUAAUCUAGAGAAGUGCUUUCCGCGCUGGACCGUGUACAAGUCUCUUGGAAUGGAGCGUCAUAGAGGGUGACAAUCCCGUCUCUGACACGGAUCCACCAGUGCUUAUGUGAUGCGCUCUCGAAGAGUCGAGUUGUUUGGGAAUGCAGCUCAAAAUGGGUGGUAAAUUCCAUCUAAAGCUAAAUAUGGGCGAGAGACCGAUAGCGAACAAGUACCGUGAGGGAAAGAUGAAAAGAACUUUGAAAAGAGAGUUAAACAGUACGUGAAAUUGUUGAAAGGGAAACGAUUCAAGUCAGUCGCGUUAGCUAGUAAUCAACCCUCUUGCAAUUCGUUGCGAGGGCUUACUUUCUGGUUAACGGGUCAGCAUCAAUUUUGACCGUUAGAUAAAGUCUCGAGGAAUGUGGCAUCCUUGGAUGUGUUAUAGCCCCGGGUCGCAUGUGACGGUUGGGAUUGAGGAACUCAGCACGCCGAAAGGUCGGGGCAUUGCCCACGUAAACGUGCUUCGGAUGCUGGCAUAAUGGCUUUAAUCGACCCGUCUUGAAACACGG